AAGCGAUUUCAUGAAUAAAUUUCUUUUGUCACUGCCGGGGUCAUUCUGGCUAGCCAUUCAAUGCUUGGCUGUAAGCAUCUUUCUCCCAAAGAGAACACAGGGAUAUACUAAUAAUCAUGUACUUUUUUUAAAAAAAAAUAAUAAUCAUGUACUUUUGAACUAGAUCACUCAAGGAUUACAUCUCACUUGGAGUGGGCACACGCUGUACAACGGGCUGGGAAAAACGUUGGCAUGAAAAUACCCCCAAUUUUCCAACAGAAGAUGGAGCGGGGAUCCUUCACAUGGAAAUAUGGAAAGUCUGCAUUUUGGGUCAUCAGCUGAUUUUUCGAUCUUGGCCUGAAUUGCAUUUGUUCUGAUGUCUUGCUCCUGGGCUGCAAGGAUCAGGCCUUCUGUCUCCUUCUUCAGUGUCCCAUUUGUGAACCAGAGCCAGUAACCUAUGGAUGCGAGAGCUGGACCAUAAGGAAGGCUGAGCGAAGGAAGGAAGAUAGAUGCUUUUGGACUGUGGUGUUGGAGGAAAAUUCUGAGAAUACCUUGGACCACAAGAUGAUCCAACCAGUCCAUACUCCAGGAAAUAAUGCCCGACUGCUCACUGGAGGGAAGGAUGAAGUACUUUGGCCACAUAAUGAAAAGACAGGAAUGCUUGGAGAAGAGAAUGAUGCUGAGGAAAAUGGAAGGAAAAAGGAAGAGGGGCCGACCAAAGGCAAGGUGGAUGGAUGGUAUCCUUGAAGGAACUAGCUUGACCUUGAAGGAGCUGGGGAUGGCGAUGGCCGAGAGGGGCUGGUCCAUGAGGUCACAAAGAGUCGGAAGCAACUGAACGAAUAAACAACAACAGAUGUGAGCAAUUUCAAUGCUAAUUUUGACCUCCCAUCCUCAGAACCCAUUAAUUCAGAAUUACGUUUCUCUUUGAACCCAAAGAAGUUGCAACGACCAAAUAUGUGAUCUGUCUUUCCUUCCUUCCUUCCUUCCUUCCUUCCUUCCUUCCUUCCUUCCUUCCUUCCUUCCUUCCUUCCUUCCAUCCAUCCAUCCAUCCAUUUCCAAACUCUCUGUCUUCUGCUGCAAAAAGCAAAAAGACUGUGUUUGUUUUAUAACCAAAUGUGACUAUUGUAUGUGAGCAAAGUGGAGAAUGGAAAGGAUGCAGAGACAGGUCGCAAUGAUCAAUUGGAGGCCCAAUCAAAGCCUAACAGAUAGCAGGCAGUUGUUCCCUGUUUGAUAUCAAAGGUGUUUUAUUUCUCAUCCCUUUUUGGUGUCACUGAAAGAAUGCUUCCUUCGCGUGGAUUAAUUAAAGUGUAAACAUUAAAUAUUGAUUGAUGCAUUAUCAGCAUGGA